CCCUUCUGGCAAUGGACAAAGAGAUACCUUGUUGUUGGUGGUGUUCUUACAUCAGUCAGGGGCAGAGCAGAUGGCAGUCCUUUGUUUAUCCUAGCUUGAUUCCUGGCUUGGCAGCCAAAGCUGUUUUAUGUCUAAGGACUCAUAA